rnacentral:rRNA from 1 species
CGCCUUAUACUCCUACGGGAGGCAGCAGUGGGGAAUAUUGGACAAUGGGCGAAAGCCUGAUCCAGCCAUGCCGCGUGUGUGAAGAAGGUCUUCGGAUUGUAAAGCACUUUAAGUUGGGAGGAAGGGCAGUUGCCUAAUACGUAACUGUUUUGACGUUACCGACAGAAUAAGCACCGGCUAACUCUGUGCCAGCAGCCGCGGUAAUACAGAGGGUGCAAGCGUUAAUCGGAAUUACUGGGCGUAAAGCGCGCGUAGGUGGUUUGUUAAGUUGGAUGUGAAAUCCCCGGGCUCAACCUGGGAACUGCAUUCAAAACUGACUGACUAGAGUAUGGUAGAAGGUGGUGGAAUUUCCUGUGUAGCGAUGAAAUGCGUAGAUAUAGGAAGGAACACCAGUGGCGAAGGCGACCACCUGGACUGAUACUGACACUGAGGUGCGAAAGCGUGGGGAGCAAACAGGAUUAGAAACCCUGGUAGUCCACGUACCA